rnacentral:lncRNA from 1 species
UAUAACUAAUAAUAAUCGACAGAUUUAAUCCUUCUCAGCUCUUUGAAUUAAAGCAACGCUGCCUCAACUGCCUCAGUUCUCUGAAGCAAGCUGACAUGGGUUAUGGAAGAGAUAUUUUGCCUUGCAAAGUAAUUGAUCAGAGGUGAAGAUGAUGUCACAAGAAUAGAAA